rnacentral:rRNA from 1 species
GGACCCGCACAAGUAGCGGAGCAUGCGGAUUAAUUCGAUGCAACGCGAAGAACCUUACCGGGGCUUGACAUAUAGUAGAAAGUUUCUAGAGAUAGUUACCCCUCUUCGGAGCUGCUAUACAGGUGGUGCAUGGUUGUCGUCAGCUCGUGUCGUGAGAUGUUCGGUUAAGUCCGAUAACGAGCGCAACCCUCGUCUUAUGUUGCUAACAGGUUAUGCUGAGAACUCAUAAGAUACUGCCCGGGUCAACCGGGAGGAAGGUGGGGAUGACGUCAAAUCAUCAUGCCCCUUACGUCCCGGGCUUCACGCGUGCUACAAUGGCCGGUACAAAGAGUCGCAAUAUAGUAAUAUGGAGCCAAUCUCAAAAAACCGGUACUCAGUUCAGAUUGGGGUCGUGCAACUCGACCCCACUGAAGAUGGAGUUACUAGUAAUCGUGGAUCAGCAAUGCCA